CAUCCUCCAAGGCUAAAUACUACUGACCGACCGAUAGUGAACCAGUACCGUGAGGGAAAGGCGAAAAGAACCCCGGAGAGGGGAGUGAAAUAGAUCCUGAAACCGUGUGCGUACAAGCAGUAGGAGCUCGAAAGAGUGACUGCGUACCUUUUGUAUAAUGGGUCAGCGACUUACUGUUCGUGGCAAGCUUAACCGUAUAGGGGAGGCGAAGGGAAACCGAGUCUGAUAAGGGCGCAUAGUCGCGGGCAGUAGACCCGAAACCGGGUGAUCUAGUCAUGGCCAGGGUGAAGGUGCCGUAACAGGUACUGGAGGCCCGAACCCACGUCUGUUGCAAAAGACGGGGAUGAGCUGUGAUUAGGAGUGAAAAGCUAAUCGAACCCGGAGAUAGCUGGUUCUCCUCGAAAGCUAUUUAGGUAGCGCCUCAUAUGUAUCCUCUCGGGGGUAGAGCACUGUUAUGGCUAGGGGGUCAUCGCGACUUACCAAACCAUUGCAAACUCCGAAUACCGAGACGGACUGUAUGGGAGACACACGGCGGGUGCUAACGUCCGUCGUGAAAAGGGAAACAACCCAGACCCACAGCU
rnacentral:rRNA from 1 species